GCCGGGCAUGGUGGCUCAUGCCUGUAAUCCCAGCACUUUGGGAGGCCGAGGUGGGUGGAUCACCUGAGGUCAGGAGUUCGAGACCAGUCUGACCAACAUGGUGAAACCCCGUCUCUA
rnacentral:SRP_RNA from 1 species